rnacentral:rRNA from 1 species
AUUGAACGCUGGCGGCAGGCCUAACACAUGCAAGUCGAGCGAGCGGCGGACGGGUGUGUAAUGUAUGGGGACUGCCCCAUAGAGGGGGAUAACUACUGGAAACGGUGGCUCAUACCGCAUACUGCCGCAUAACCCAUAUGGGAUUAGCUAGUAGGUAUGGUAAUGGCUUACCUAGGCGACGAUCCCUAGCUGGUCUGAGAGGAUGAUCAGCCACACUGGGACUGAGACACGGCCCAGACUCCUACGGAGGCAGCAGUGGGGAAUAUUGCACAAUGGGCGCAAGCCUGAUGCAGCCAUGCCGCGUGUAUGAAGAAGGCCUUAGGGUUGUAAAGUACUUUCAGUCGGGAGGCGUUACCGGCAGAAGAAGCACCGGCUAACUCCGUGCCAGCAGCCGCGGUAAUAC